rnacentral:rRNA from 1 species
CAGUCGCCGCGGGAAUACAGAGGAUGCAAGCGUUAAUCGGAAUUAUUGGGCGUAAAGCGAGUGCAGACGGUUACUUAAGCCAGAUGUGGAAUCCCCAAGCUUAACUUGGGACGUGCAUUUGAAACUGGGUGACUAGAGUGUGUCAGAGGGAGGUAGAAUUCCACAAGUAGCGGUGGAAUGCGUAGAGAUGUGGAGGAAUACCGAUGGCGAAGGCAGCCUCCUGGGAUAACACUGACGUUGAGGCUCGAAAGCGUGGGGAGCAAACAGGAUUAGAUACCCGGGUAGUCCCUGUCUCUUAUAU